GACGCUGGCAGGAAUGGGGAGAAGUGAGGUGCCCACUAAUCCUGCUAGUUUCACCACAUUGCUGCUGGUUGGAGUGGGAGUUUAGCUCCCCACUGAGCCUGCUAAUAUCAGAGAAGUGAUUUCUGUUUUCAAAAGAUCACUCUGGUUCUUUGUUGAAUAUGGAUUGUCUUGGGACAAGCAAUAAUGCAAGAAAAUACAGAGAGAGGCAGCUGUCAGUCAAGUCCUGUUCAGAUGUGACACUCACAACUGUUGCAACCAUCCUGUAGACGUGGGAGGAGAAGGUCCAAGGACAGCCCAGAGUCUUCCAAUGGUGGAGCAGAGGGAGUAUUGCUCUAUUCCUGAGGCUGGAGUUCAGUGGUGCAAUCUCGACUCCGCAGCAUUUAUCUCCCAGGCUCAAGUGAUCCUUCUAUUUCAGUCUCUCUGGUAGCUGGGAUUAUAGCCUUCAAUCAAAUGAAAUAAUGGAUUUUGCUGGAAACACAGUUCUUGUGAGAGGAUGUCUUACAUUCAGCUCUAUAUGAUCAUAGUACUUGAGAGCACAGCAGUUGUCUCUCCACCUGAGGACUGACCCGAGGCUCCGCUUUGAGAGUGCAGUGCGGUGCCCACUGUGGCAUGGACAGUCGGCAGGCCAGGCAGAGCCCCCGUCAGCACUGCAGAAUGCCAUGGGUGACUCCUUUGCUGCUUGGUUUUUCAGCACGGGCAGAUGGGACCUCAUUGUUCCAAAGUUUCGGUUUGGAAAAUUCAGACAUUAAGGAUUAAUCUACAUUUUAAAGUAGUCGUCUUUGAAGGAAAUUAUGCUAUAAAUGAGAAACCUGUGUGGAGUUCUGGGUUCUUUAUGUUAGCUUUGGCAGGGCCAGGAGACUGUUUUGAUGAUAGAGCCAGCAUUGGAAACCUGUAUUUUAUCUCGCAGGAAAACGAAGCAAAUUUAAAACAUUCUGCAUUUGCCUUUUGACACCCCAUAACCAAAAGAUGAACUUUAAUUUCUGGGAGGCCUCCCAGUGAUUAAUGCCUUUACGUUUAUGGCGUGAGAAGAAUGAGCCGUAUGUUACAGUUGGUCUUCUGUCCGUUUCUGAAGAGAGCCUGUGCCAGGAUUUUGAUGUGCACUCGCGUUCUGGCACCAGGCUGCACACUUCUCACCCAGCACAGAGCCAGCUCACAGAUCCUGUUCGGCACAGCGACUCCAGACAUGCAGCAUGAAUUUGAAGGAGGCCUCCUCAAAUGUGGCAGGCACAGUCUCCCUCUUCCUAUUUGGAGCCGUCUGUGGGGCUAGGACCUCUCUCAGCUGCCUGUAAAGCAGCCCUGGGAGAGCUGCUUUUGCUAGCUACUUACUGCAACAGUCCCAAGGAAGGUGGGGCGUGGCCCUCUACUGCUAUUUCACAAUUGUUUUCUAUUUCCUACCUUUACUGAUAAAAGAAAAUUGUGACUUUUCUCUUUUCACAUAAGCUUUAGAAAUCACAUGCUCUACUCUUGAGGGGACAGUAUUGGAGUGAAGACCUUUGGGGCCUUCUUUAAUUCCUGCAUCUCCUGCGGGGGACGAAUGACAUUCACUAAGCCAUGUGUGGUAACUGUUAAUGCUGUCUACCAAAGAUUUUUGGUUCUCCCCCACUUUAUGGCUCAUGUUCGAAUGGUAAUUCCUCUUCUGUGUGUAGCCAUGGAACUUGCUUUGUUCAAUAAAUAUAGAUCAAAAGUGGCACGUGUUGCUUAGGACUGUAAGUGUCAAGAGCUGGUGAAUAAGUUACUACUCUUACCUCUUGCUGCUGUUGUGAUUGAAGAAGCCCCAGGUUGAGAUGAGGCAUCUGUCAGCCUGGGUCCCUGAGAAAGUCUGAAGAACAGAGCAUCCCUGCUCACUAGUGUCAGACGCAUGCCAGGAGCAAAAAAUACGUGUUUUCUUCUUUUGGUUAUUCACUGCAACUUGGGGAUUGUUUGCUACUGCAUCAUAAGUAGAGCCACUACACUGCAGCUCAAACAGUACAGAGCCAGGCCCAUCUCUUUCUGGUUUCACUCUUUCUUUUUUAGGUAUCAGUAACAUAGGUGAGUUUCUUCCAUCUGGAAAAGAGACAAAGAAAGUUGGUUUUAGCAGGUCCACCAUCGUCCAACUUUUCUCCCUGUGACAGGAGAGAAAGACCAAAGUCUAAAUCAAAUAGGGAGAUAGGCAAACAUGCUAUGUUCUCUAAUUAGAUUAACCCUGAACACAUUUACUAUGUUUUGAUCCCCCUUGGUUCGUAUUCAUCACUUCUCACUUUGGUUAGGACUACACAGGUAGGAAAAGUGCUGACGACUGUUUUCCAAAACCUCCAGCGCAUUGUAUACCACACCACUUAGUCCUCUAUGUAGGCAACAGGUGUAGUAUAGCAUGCUAUUUGUGUUGUUUCUUCAAAGUCCUGAAAUGAUGACAGCCUAGUGGCUUAUAGGAGCAGUAGACAGAAUUCAAAGAUGGGUCCUACAUUUUCAACCCCAGGUGUGUAUAUUCUGUAUAAUUCCCUUCCCUUUGGUGUAUGAAUGAAAAUAUCAUUUGUGGGCCGGGAGCAGUGGCUCAUGCCUAUAAUCCCAGCAAUUUGGGAGACCGAGGCCAGUAGAUCACUUGAGGUCAGGAGUUUAAGACCAGCCUGGCCAACCUGACUAAUCCCUCUCUCUACUAAAAAUACAAAAAUUAGCGAGGUGUUGUGGUGCAUGCCUGUAAUCCCAGCUAUUUGGAAGGCUGAGGCAGAAGAAUUGCUUGAACCUGGGAGGUGGAAGUUGCAAUGAGCCAAGAUCAUGCCCGGGAGAUUCCAUCUUAAAAAACAAAAAAGAGGAAAAAAAAUAUCAUUUGUGCACAAAUGAAAUAUUACUCCCAUAGUUAGGCCACAGUAUAUAGCAAAGAUAAAAAGAUUUUGCCAAUGUAAUUAUGGCCACUAAUCAGUUGAGUUUGAGUUACCCAAAAGGGGGAUUAUCCUGGUUGAACCUAAGU